UACGUAGGGGGGCAAGCGUUGUCCGGAUUUAUUGGGCGUAAAGAGCGUGUAGGCGGUUUGGUAGGUCCGCUGUGAAAACUCGAGGCUCAACCUCGAGACGCCGGUGGAAACCAUCAGGCUAGAGUCCGGAAGAGGAGAGUGGAAUUCCUGGUGUAGCGGUGAAAUGCGCAGAUAUCAGGAGGAACACCGAUGGCGAAGGCAGGUCUCUGGGCCACUACUGACGCUGAGAAGCGAAAGCAUGGGGAGCGAACAGG
rnacentral:rRNA from 1 species